rfam:Dialister sp. CAG:588 genomic scaffold, scf85
GGACACAACUCUGGAGAGUCUCGUUAAAUCGAGCGCCGAAGGUGUAAAGGUUACAUAGUAACCCCGAUCUCUCAGGCAAAAGGACAGGGCGGCUCAU